CGAUCGUGGGAGAAGAAACACACACACGCACAAAAAAAAAGGGGGCAGCGGCGACAUUAGAGGGGAUCGCCGGAGAGACGAGCGCCGGAGGGAGGAACCGGCCGGCCGCGGAGGAAGCCGGAAGCUUUUCCCUCCCUCGGUGAAGAUCCCCCACAAAUCGGGAGAAGAAGUCUCGGAUCCAUGCGUGAAAACCCAAGACCCUUCUCCGAUUUCUCGCCGGAAGGAUCGCCGGAACGCCCCGCCGGACCGAGAGGAAGAGUCGGCGGUGCCAGGAGAUUUUGAUCAGGGGACUCAGCACCCCAGCGUGUAGGUUGUGAUUCGGAUCCAUGUUUGAGUCAAUCUAUAAUCUCUAGGCACUGAAUUUGUAGAGAUCAAUGGGUGGGACGAGAAAUGAGAUCAGCAUGGAGUCUGAUUGCUGGAUAGAUAGGAGUUAAUCUAUCUUUUGUUUAUGGACAUUGAAAAAUUAUGUAAUAAAUCAGUACAUUUUGGUUGGAUUUGAUUUAAUUUCAUUAAUCAUUAAUUUUGGCAUUUAUGGAA